rnacentral:tRNA from 1 species
UUUAAAGUGCCAGAUUAUGGGUUAAAUUUAAGCUUUAAUAAUGGGUACCCCCCCUUUAGAU